rnacentral:lncRNA from 1 species
AUGUUCCUGCGUCACUAUCAGAUUGCUCAGUUUCAAUUAUCUCAUCUUCAGGAACAGUUCUUGAAAUUGUUCGAAAAUCCUCUGUUGGGAUUUCUGGGUUGUGUCUGUCUUUGGCCUGCAGGGUGUGGUGUUGAGCACAAUUGGGUGCAGCUGGCACUGCAGGUGGGCGCACCUGUAGGCAAUUUACAUCUUGCUGCCUAUUUAAGCAGGUUGUGCCUGCCUGUCAGUGCCGGGGUGUCUGUUUGUUUGUUUGGGUUCCUUGGUGUUGGUAGGGUGUCUGUUCGUGGUGAAGCUGUUUGGUUGCUUCCCUGUCGUGUGGUGCUCUGCAUCUCCUGGAGGGUUGCCCCUGUUCCCGAGCUUCUGGUUUCCUUGGACGACCGCUCCUGUUCCUGUUGCCCUGGAGGGUUGCUCCUGUCCCCGAGCUUCCUGUUUUCCUGGAGGGCCGCUCUUGUCCCCAAGCUUCCGGUUUUUCUGGCGGGCCGCGCCUGUUCCUGUUCCUGGUCUCCUGGCGGACCGCUCCUGCUCCCCUUGCAGCCUAGGACGACUGCCUCUGCCUUUAGUGUCUCGGGGCACAUUCGUGUGGUGAGCGUGUCGCGCCGGACUCCCGAGUCCUCGCCGGUCCUGGGGGACUGCUGCGGUUUGAGGACUCACCGGUGUUCCGAGUUCCCCGCAGUCCAGGGGGACUGCGUCUGGUUGGGGACUCGCCGAUGGACCUGUGACAGGCGGACGCUGCCUCCCAAUCCCCCUGCGGUCCAGGAGGACUGUUUCCUGUCGUCAGUGUGUGCUCCCCUUCCCUGUAAAUAAAGCUCUUGACUACUCCACCACUGUGUCCUGGCCUGCGUUCGGGUCCUCUGCAACCAUGUUUCGUAACAGCUACUGCUAUCAUCAUUACCCAGCUUCCUAAUGACACAGCACAGCAAAGCCAAUUAACCUCCCCCGGAAGCACUGCUAAAGGCCUUCUGCUCCAAAGGACUGACACGAUGUGAAACUGGAUGAGGGAGUCAGGGGUGAGGGAGUGAAUCAAUGGAAUGGAAAAUAAGAGAAAACGAUUUGUCACAACAUUGUCAACUUCCCUUCUGCCGUCUCUCCAGAUGUAGGAACAGUGGGCCAGAUUCACGAAGCGUUCUUACGAACAAAUUUGUUCUUAAGUCCCACUUACGAACAGUUGACGAAGAUUGUGGCAUUCACCAAUUUCUUCUUAUCCUGGAUUUAUUCGUAGGUAAGAACAAAUCCUACGAACACUCAGGAGUACUCUUGCGCACAUUUCAGUGCCGACAUGUUGGCAUGGUUGUGUUUUCUUCUCUUGUGCAGUUCAAUAAAAUUCAAUAUUACAAUGAUAAUUCUGUCAUAUUUAUUUAUUUGUUUAUUUCCUAUUUUUGGUGAUUUACGGAGAAUUUUAAAAUUACGUAAAUGUGCCAAUGACUUGACAUUAAUCAACCAAAUUGGAAACCAUGCCAAAACUGUCUUUUUAUUUGAUUUUAUCUUGAUUUAUUUUAUUAGGGGAUCGAGGAUAUGCCCUGGUUGUUGACACCACUGACCAACCCUCAGACUCCACAGGAGUUUUAUUCAAUCAGAUGCAUGCGCGCAGUCGCUCCACCAUUGAACGCACCAUCGGCAUGUUAAAGGGGCGCUGGAUGUGUUUGGACACAGAGCCACAACCCCGUGAGGAUGUGCGUCCUGACGCAAUGAUGGGGCCAGACUGCAGGCACGCGGUUCACGUUCGAGCGCGAUUAAUUGCCCGUUUGUGAAUAAAAUGCAUUAUUGUCAAAAUCCGAGCACAGCUUUUACACGUUUUUUUUUUUUUUUUACAUUCUUCUUUUUUUACAUUCUCGUUGAUUUCUUUAAGCGUGUUGGCUAUAGUCAUCCGGGUUGAGGCAAUUUUAUCAAGCGUGUUAGCCAUCCUUUCUUGAUUGUUCAACACGGCGUCAGAAAUCAGGCGUGGAGAGGCAAGCUUUGGGCAUUUCGCUGCUUUUUGCUCCGUCUACAGGGUCCUGCUGCAGUUCCUUUUAUGGGCAUUAGUGGGCGGUGACUUAUGCUAAUCGUAUGUUAAUUAGACUCACCUGGCACGCGCUUUCAACUUACGAACAGAUGGCAUUCAUCAAUCUAAGAACACAGCUGCGAACAAUUCUGGGGCUUACGAACGCGUUGAUGAAUCCGACGUAGGGUUUUCUUAAAAAACUUCUUAAGGACAACUUAAGAAAGAAUCUAAGAAGAUUCGUAAGAACAUAUUGGUGAAUCGGGCCCAGUGACUUCAGCAGCCAUGCCUUGUGUUUCAGUGCAGCUGCUGCAGCCAUUUAAUGCUCGCAGCUGCAUGAGGUGAAACCACACAUCCCUUUUAGUAUACGCCUUUGCAACCAUUGCAGACCUCUCGAUGGAGGGCGAGGAUGAAGCAGGGCAAUGCAGAAAGUGUGUGAGUUGACCUGUAGGAGCAUAUAGACUUUUGAGGACAGCUCUGCAGACAUAGGGUGACACUGUGUUUCUCUAAUGGCCAACUAUGCAGCCACUGGAAAAGACAAUGUGUUGCCUCAUUACAGUGUGUCUGCAGAAGAGCAUGAUAAAUAUCUCCUCAAUAACAGGUUCAUUUGAAGAAGCACACUCAAAUUGAUUACAAUGCUUAUCUGCUCUGUUUGCACACAAAUUCAGCAUGUGUGUGUCAGAAUUUGAAAAAUAUGACGCUAAGCAUGUGCCACGGAGGUUCUAUGUUUUCCUGUCAAAGUAAACAAUGAAAUGGCAUAACUACAGUUUCACAACAGCUGGUUUAUUUGCUUGCCUUCAAAAGUUUAAGAAGUUUGAGUGAUCCAAAGUAAGAGGAACUUUACAUCAGUAGCAUGGUGAAAAGAAAGGUGUUACCCAGAUGAUUGCAGGUGGUCAAGACAUAUCAGGAAAAAGGGAGAAAGGCCAGAUGGUAAGUACCGUAUUUUCACAACCAUAAGGCGCGCCGUAUUAUAGGGCGCACCUUCAAUUAACAGCCUAUUUUAGAAAUAUUUUCAUACACAGGGCGCUCCGUGUUAUAAGGCGCAUAGCAUAGAAACUGCGUAGUGCCUGUGGUUUCAUGACGCGUUCACUAGAUCGAGCUGCGCUAAAAGGAAUGUCAAUAAAACAGCCAGAUAAGUCAGUCAAACUUUAUUAAUAGAAUACAAACCGUCGUUCUCACAACUCUAUUCACUCCAAUAGAGUUGUGAGAACAGCUGUUUUAUUUUUUUUCCCGAGUGACGUAGUGUUUUCGCGUAACACAGUUCGUUUAAUAACAGCGAGUUAUAACAGGCAGUGCAACAUUUUUAUCACAAGUGGAGUUUAAUAAAUCUUCGAUUUAGUGCAACAUUUUUAUCACGUAGUACCGUUGCGGUAAAUCAAACGUUAGUGCAAACACAAUAUACGGUAACUCGAACUCUCGAAGUAGUGCAAAGCGAUAGCAAUAUAACAAUAGCAAUAUAACAACGUUGUUCAAACGGUAAUGUCCAUAUUCACAGUAUGACCAGCCUUGUUAAGUUGUAAACACACAAAAGAAACACGUAAAGAUCACUUUAUCAGUUCAUUCCUCAUCCAGGAAUCCCUCGAAUUCUUCUUCUUCGGUGUCUGAAUUGAACAGUUGUGCGAAUACGGCGUCCAACACGGCCGGCUCCGUCUUGUCAAAGUCGUCAUCAGGGUCGGUGUCGCUGGUGUUGUCUGGCAUUUCAGUGACAAUCCCUGCCUUCCCGAAAGCUCGGACCACGGUCGAUGCCCAGGCAUUUACGAUCCACUGGCAGAUAGUGACGUAUGACGCUCGGCGCCGUCUCCCCGUCUUGGUGAACGUGUGUUCGCCGUUCGUCAUCCACCGCUCCCACGCAGUUCGCAGUCUAGCUUCGAAUGCCCCGUUGACACUAAUAUCUAGCGGCUGGAGUUCCUUUGUUAAUCCACUUCUUGCUUUGUUUCCUCGGAAGCUCCGUUGCUUCCUCCACUUCCGCACCAUUGAUUCGUUCACGUUAAAUCCUCUUGCUGCUGCUCUAUUUCCGUGUUCAACUGCGUGACUGAUAGCCUUCAGUUUGAACUCUGCGUCAAAAGCGCGUCUCUUGCAAGGAGCCAUUUUGGGGUCUUUACAGACAGAAAUGGUUUGGGACUGAAUUUACUGCUGUUACCUCGGCCACGCCUACUGACUACGGUAGCCGCGAUUAACCAAUAUUACCGUAAUCCAUACAAAAGGCGCUCCGGGUUAAAAGGCGCACCGUAGAUUUUUUAGAAAAUUCUAGGCUUUUAGGUGCGCCUUAUAGUCGUGAAAAUACGGUAAUCACCACUUCAGUGUCUGUGUGUGUCUGUGUGUGUGUUGCGUACUGAUGUUCUGUAUGGGAUUCCAGAGAUGCCUCUUUCACAGGAGAAAUCAAGUUCCCCCAGUUUCUUCAAAGCUAAAUCUUUUGCUUGCUUACGCGAGACCCAUAACAACUGAGCAUUUUUCUUGAAUGACAAGAAUGUCAACAAGCAGAACUGCUUCAUAAAACCACUGCUUUGGGUCAGGAGAAAACUUCCCAUGAGGUUACUGAUGCUUGUCCAGAUUCUAAAAUGUUAGAAAUUCAUCUAACAAAGAGAUUCCACAAAUCCUCCGGCAGACAGAUUAUAUCCAAGUUAAGGGAAUUUAAAAUAGUUUUCCACUGGGAAGGGACGGACUGCCAGAGAUGGAAUAGUAAGACAGGUCACAGAGGAACCCAC